rnacentral:rRNA from 1 species
AUUCGCGGCCUAUCAGCUUGUUGGUGAGGUAACGGCUCACCAAGGCAUCGACGGGUAGCUGGUCUGAGAGGACGAUCAGCCACACUGGAACUGAGACACGGUCCAGACUCCUACGGGAGGCAGCAGCAGGGAAUAUUGCACAAUGGGCGAAAGCCUGAUGCAGCAACGCCGCGUGAGGGAUGACGGCCUUCGGGUUGUAAACCUCUUUCAGGAGGGAAGAAAUUGACGGUACCUCCAAAAGAAGCCCCGGCUAACUACGUGCCAGCAGCCGCGGUAAUACGUAGGGGGCGAGCGUUGUCCGGAUUUAUUGGGCGUAAAGAGCUCGUAGGCGGCUCAGUAAGUCGGCUGUGAAAGUCCGGGGCUCAACCCCGGGACGCCGGUCGAUACUGCUGUGGCUAGGGUCCGGUAGAGGAGAGUGGAAUUCCCGGUGUAGCGGUGAAAUGCGCAGAUAUCGGGAGGAACACCAGUAGCGAAAGCGGCUCUCUGGGCCGGUACCGACGCUGAGGAGCGAAAGCUAGGGGAGCAAACAGGAUUAGAUACCCUGGUAGUCCUAGCCGUAAACGUUGGGCACUAGGUGUGGCGGAUUCAUUGACAUCUGCCGUGCCGAAGCUAACGCAUUAAGUGCCCCGCCUGGGGAGUACGGAAU